AUUGUUGGGAACACUGGGGCAUGGCCACUAGGUAACUCGAGGGGAUGGAAGACCACGAGUGUCGAUGAAGCCCCCUCGCACUAGGCCCCGGUGUCCUUGCCCCCCCCCCCCGCCCCUCCUGCCUGGAGGCACUCGCAGCAGCUCUGCGUGCUAGGCCCAAGUGUCCUUGGCCCCCCCGCCUGGAGGCACACACAGCAGUUAUGCUGAGAAUCUGCAACAGUAUGUUGCAGAGUCAGACUGCCUGAAACUAAGCAAGGCCAAACAGGGGAGAUAUGGAAGAACAAUGCUGAAUAAAGCAGCUUUAUGUAUAGUUUAACAAAUGAUACAGAGAAUCAGGGAACUAGCUGGGAACUGGAUUGGCUAGCUAUAUGGAUACUUGGGGCAGCUUGCUAUUGGAUAAGUAUGCUGGGAAAAAGGAUGUAUAAAAGCCUGUGUAACUUCCUGCUCUGUUGUGCAGGAUUUGAGAUUUUAUUCUCCCUGUACCUUUUUGCAGCUGCAAAUAAACUUUUCUGCUUCUC